UGUAUGGUAAACUCAUAUCCUGGGGACAA
rnacentral:piRNA from 1 species